rnacentral:rRNA from 1 species
UUUCGACACACUAUCAUUAACUGAAUCCAUAGGUUAAUGAGGCGAACCGGGGGAACUGAAACAUCUAAGUACCCCGAGGAAAAGAAAUCAACCGAGAUUCCCCCAGUAGCGGCGAGCGAACGGGGAGGAGCCCAGAGCCUGAAUCAGUGUGUGUGUUAGUGGAAGCGUCUGGAAAGGCGCGCGAUACAGGGUGACAGCCCCGUACACAAAAAUGCACAUACUGUGAGCUCGAUGAGUAGGGCGGGACACGUGGUAUCCUGUCUGAAUAUGGGGGGACCAUCCUCCAAGGCUAAAUACUCCUGACUGACCGAUAGUGAACCAGUACCGUGAGGGAAAGGCGAAAAGAA